AUUUGCAAUUGUGGAAUCAGGUAAGAAGCCAGAUCUCAAAUCAGGACUUUCAAAGUCAAAGACCUCAGCAGUGAAAAAUCAUGUGAUAGUGACUGUUAUUCCAGCAUAAAAGCAAUCCUCUGCCUCAUUAUUGAUGCUGACGUCAUCGGACCUUCAUCACGCAGCUUGAGUGGCUUGGGCCGGAAGAACCAGAUCUUUCCUUGGUAGAUUAAAAGGCGGCAUGGAAGAUGGAAGCCUGCCCGGUGCUUGUUCACAAGCCUCAGAUGUUUAGUUAACUGAUUCAUGGGAGCAGGUUUUCAAUGUCUCUCAAGAACACCAAGCCGCCGAUUCCAGCUUCUGCCAUCCCUACAGCAUAUGUCUGCAUAAUCUGUGGGGGAUUCUACAGAAGAUGCUGAUCAUGGCUUCCUCCAUGACCUUCCAGUUAAUUAUCACUACUGAAUCUUUAAUGCUUUAAACAUAUACAUCGCUUAUUUUGCUUCCAAAUCAGUGGCUUAAUAAAUGCCAACACACACAUUAAAGUAUAUUAAUCUUUCAUAUAGUUUUGAGUAGUCAAAAGUAUAUUAAACAUUAAAAUAAAAUUAAUUUCCACCUUCUCAUUCUUAAGCUGCUGGCUAAUGUCAUUUUUAAAGCAUGCUAUCAUGUUCUAUGAAUUGACAUUUUGCUAUGAAUUAAUGAGCUCGUAUUUAUUUACUGCCUCUGGUGUUACCCAUUAUGUUUUCAGUUGUUAUAGAACACCAUACAUCAUACUGUGAAAACCCAGGCAGUCAGAUGAACUGUGAUGGGUGGGGUCAUGUACUAAUGACAAAAUGUACUAAGGUGAUAUCUUGAAUAUGCCAGGCAGCCUUGCUGGGGUCCAUGAUGGUGGGCUUAGGGGGAAAGCUAGCCCUCCUGCCCUUGAAGAACUGAAGGCCUGGUACCAUGGUGCAAAAAUCAAGACUCCCUAGAGUCUAAAGAACUGGCCAGAGGAGCUGGGAUUUUGGGAGCUCUGCCUUGCAUCCCUUGCAAACUUUUAUAACUGUCAGGAUGGCUAUAACGGUCCACACCAAGACGGUGUGGCCAGGCAAUCAUUGUCUUUGACUAUUUAACUAAGCCCGGACAGGGCUAUGAGCACUAUCUUGGGCUUUGUGUGUGGAUUGAGCUCAGACAACACAGAGAUAACAUUCCCUUGGGGAGGGAAUUUCCCGGCAACCCCUUGUCAUGGCAGGAGAGCACCCUGUUCAGAACACUGUUUAGAACACGG
rnacentral:lncRNA from 1 species